rnacentral:rRNA from 1 species
GGGAACUGAAACAUCUAAGUACCCCGAGGAAAAGAAAUCAACCGAGAUUCCCCCAGUAGCGGCGAGCGAACGGGGAGCAGCCCAGAGCCUGAAUCAGUGUGUGUGUUAGUGGAAGCGUCUGGAAAGGCGCGCGAUACAGGGUGACAGCCCCGUACACAAAAAUGCACAUGCUGUGAGCUCGAUGAGUAGGGCGGGACACGUGGUAUCCUGUCUGAAUAUGGGGGGACCAUCCUCCAAGGCUAAAUACUCCUGACUGACCGAUAGUGAACCAGUACCGUGAGGGAAAGGCGAAAAGAACCCCGGCGAGGGGAGUGAAAAAGAACCUGAAACCGUGUACGUACAAGCAGUGGGAGCACGCUUAGGCGUGUGACUGCGUACCUUUUGUAUAAUGGGUCAGCGACUUAUAUUCUGUAGCAAGGUUAACCGAAUAGGGGAGCCGAAGGGAAACCGAGUCUUAACUGGGCGUUAAGUUGCAGGGUAUAGACCCGAAACCCGGUGAUCUAGCCAUGGGCAGGUUGAAGGUUGGGUAACACUAACUGGAGGACCGAACCGACUAAUGUUGAAAAAUUAGCGGAUGACUUGUGGCUGGGGGUGAAAGGCCAAUCAAACCGGGAGAUAGCUGGUUCUCCCCGAAAGCUAUUUAGGUAGCGCCUCGUGAAUUCAUCUCCGGGGGUAGAGCACUGUUUCGGCAAGGGGGUCAUCCCGACUUACCAACCCGAUGCAAACUGCGAAUACCGGAGAAUGUUAUCACGGGAGACACACGGCGGGUGCUAACGUCCGUCGUGAAGAGGGAAACAACCCAGACCGCCAGCUAAGGUCCCAAAGUCAUGGUUAAGUGGGAAACGAUGUGGGAAGGCCCAGACAGCCAGGAUGUUGGCUUAGAAGCAGCCAUCAUUUAAAGAAAGCGUAAUAGCUCACUGGUCGAGUCGGCCUGCGCGGAAGAUGUAACGGGGCUAAACCAUGCACCGAAGCUGCGGCAGCGACGCUUAUGCGUUGUUGGGUAGGGGAGCGUUCUGUAAGCCUGUGAAGGUGUGCUGUGAGGCAUGCUGGAGGUAUCAGAAGUGCGAAUGCUGACAUAAGUAACGAUAAAGCGGGUGAAAAGCCCGCUCGCCGGAAGACCAAGGGUUCCUGUCCAACGUUAAUCGGGGCAGGGUGAGUCGACCCCUAAGGCGAGGCCGAAAGGCGUAGUCGAUGGGAAACAGGUUAAUAUUCCUGUACUUGGUGUUACUGCGAAGGGGGGACGGAGAAGGCUAUGUUGGCCGGGCGACGGUUGUCCCGGUUUAAGCGUGUAGGCUGGUUUUCCAGGCAAAUCCGGAAAAUCAAGGCUGAGGCGUGAUGACGAGGCACUACGGUGCUGAAGCAACAAAUGCCCUGCUUCCAGGAAAAGCCUCUAAGCAUCAGGUAACAUCAAAUCGUACCCCAAACCGACACAGGUGGUCAGGUAGAGAAUACCAAGGCGCUUGAGAGAACUCGGGUGAAGGAACUAGGCAAAAUGGUGCCGUAACUUCGGGAGAAGGCACGCUGAUAUGUAGGUGAGGUCCCUCGCGGAUGGAGCUGAAAUCAGUCGAAGAUACCAGCUGGCUGCAACUGUUUAUUAAAAACACAGCACUGUGCAAACACGAAAGUGGACGUAUACGGUGUGACGCCUGCCCGGUGCCGGAAGGUUAAUUGAUGGGGUUAGCGCAAGCGAAGCUCUUGAUCGAAGCCCCGGUAAACGGCNNNNNNNNNNNNNCUUGUCGGGUAAGUUCCGACCUGCACGAAUGGCGUAAUGAUGGCCAGGCUGUCUCCACCCGAGACUCAGUGAAAUUGAACUCGCUGUGAAGAUGCAGUGUACCCGCGGCAAGACGGAAAGACCCCGUGAACCUUUACUAUAGCUUGACACUGAACAUUGAGCCUUGAUGUGUAGGAUAGGUGGGAGGCUUUGAAGUGUGGACGCCAGUCUGCAUGGAGCCGACCUUGAAAUACCACCCUUUAAUGUUUGAUGUUCUAACGUUGACCCGUAAUCCGGGUUGCGGACAGUGUCUGGUGGGUAGUUUGACUGGGGCGGUCUCCUCCUAAAGAGUAACGGAGGAGCACGAAGGUUGGCUAAUCCUGGUCGGACAUCAGGAGGUUAGUGCAAUGGCAUAAGCCAGCUUGACUGCGAGCGUGACGGCGCGAGCAGGUGCGAAAGCAGGUCAUAGUGAUCCGGUGGUUCUGAAUGGAAGGGCCAUCGCUCAACGGAUAAAAGGUACUCCGGGGAUAACAGGCUGAUACCGCCCAAGAGUUCAUAUCGACGGCGGUGUUUGGCACCUCGAUGUCGGCUCAUCACAUCCUGGGGCUGAAGUAGGUCCCAAGGGUAUGGCUGUUCGCCAUUUAAAGUGGUACGCGAGCUGGGUUUAGAACGUCGUGAGACAGUUCGGUCCCUAUCUGCCGUGGGCGCUGGAGAACUGAGGGGGGCUGCUCCUAGUACGAGAGGACCGGAGUGGACGCAUCACUGGUGUUCGGGUUGUCAUGCCAAUGGCACUGCCCGGUAGCUAAAUGCGGAAGAGAUAAGUGCUGAAAGCAUCUAAGCACGAAACUUGCCCCGAGAUGAGUUCUCCCUGACUCCUUGAGAGUCCUGAAGGAACGUUGAAGACGACGACGUUGAUAGGCCGGGUGUGUAAGCGCAGCGAUGCGUUGAGCUAACCGGUACUAAUGAACCGUGAGGCUUAACC